GAUGAACGCUAGCGGCAGGCUUAAUACAUGCAAGUCGAGGGACAGCACAGGUAGCAAUACUGGGUGGUAACCGGCAAACGGGUGCGGGACACGUACACAACCUUCCUUUAAGUGGGGGAUAGCCCAGAGAAAUUUGGAUUAAUACCCCGUAAUAUAGUUGAAUGGCAUCAUUUGAUUACUAUAGCUACGGCGCUUAAUGAUGGGUGUGCGGCUGAUUAGAUAGUUGGCGGGGUAACGGCCCACCAAGUCUACGAUCAGUAGCUGAUGUGAGAGCAUGAUCAGCCACACGGGCACUGAGACACGGGCCCGACUCCUACGGGAGGCAGCAGUAAGGAAUAUUGGUCAAUGGACGCAAGUCUGAACCAGCCAUGCCGCGUGAAGGAUUAAGGUCCUCUGGAUUGUAAACUUCCUUUAUUUGGGACGAAAAAGGGCCUUUCUAGGUCAACUGACGGUACCAGAUGAAUAAGCACCGGCUAACUCCGUGCCAGCCGCCGCGGUAA
rnacentral:rRNA from 1 species